CAGCUUGGGGGUCGGCGGAGCAAAGAGAGCGGGUGAGAGGAUGACUGCUAAAAUGGCUACUGAGACUGGCUUGGCCAGACUGGCUGCCCCGAGGAGGGACAUGACACGCAUGCGAAUACAGUGACGUCCCCCCAUGAAGAGCCCCAUGUAUGAUGGCUGGGCGGAUUGGGAGGCUUUUCAUGCCCAGUUUGAACUGCUAGCUCGGGCAGGCAAGUGGUCUACUGAAGAGAAAGCCUUCAAACUAGCGAUUUGUCUGACUGGUGAUGACUGUCAAGCCUGCUGCUUCUGAGUCCGGCGGAUAGGAGUGAUUAUCAUGAAAAAAAUAAUACUAUCCAGCGUCUGUCAAAAUGGCAUGAAGUGACGUCACAUUGCUUGCCGGAAGUAUGCCGGAAGUGACAUCAUCAUCAGCUGCCAGAAAUGUACCGGAAGUGGUGUGAUUGUUUGUUGUCGGAAAUGACGUCAUCGUCUGUUGCCGGAAGUCUUGUCUGAAACCAGAAGCGUGCCGGAAGGUGCGACCGGAUGUUGUGUUGUUGCCAGAAAUCUAGUUUGAAACCGGAAGUGUACCGGAAGUUGUGUUGUUGCCGGAAGGUGUGAGCGGAUAUUGUGUUGUUGCCGGAAAUCAGUGUGAAAUGUCCUGAACAUGUUCGGACAUGUUCAGAACAAGUUCUAGACUUGUCUCGUUCCCCCCACCACCCACCAUAAACUCCCCACCCUUCUUUUUACCACCCGAUCCAGGGUGAAGGGAUGUUGUGACCUUAAGGCUUCCUCCUGUUUACGUCCUGAACCAGUCGCCCAUUCCCUGGGAAUAAAAACAGAUAAGCGAAGUCGGCACCAGAUGCGUCCAAUAAAUGUUAUUUCCGACCAGCAUAUACGUGGUGUUAGAGCAACAUCACCUACAGAUCGAGCAAUGGCAUUAUCUACCGUUGUUUUUCAAAAUCGACAACGCACAUGGGGUCGGCUUACCCGGUCAGAAAUAUAUCACCCAAAUACUGAGUUGUACAACUUUAAAAGACUGAGCUCUGAGGACUCAGCACCACACCUACAGCAGACAAUUUACCAAGUAGAUCGCAAGACAGACAGACAAGAUGGCUGGACGAUCAACAGCAUCCGAAAACGUAACAUAUUUUGAUGAUCACCAUUGCAGUUCAAGUAUAAUUAUUUUCUCAUAUUCAUUGCAAUUGCAAACUAACACAUCAACCCUUACUUUUUUUUUUUUUUUUUUAAAGCAGUUGCAUCUGAAGCAUCUUCCAAUUAUAACAGAGAAAUGAGAGAAUUGGUAAAUAGUAUUCAAUCAUCAGCGAAGCCGCAGGAAACUUGCUCACCUUUCACACCAGUUUAUCGCGACGGGCUGUUUACGCCGCCUGACAGUGUUAAAUUGGAACAUUCGAGGAUCGGGAUUGACGACAUUCCAUCAUUCUCGGUGCGCGGAAACUUCUGGCUUGAUUCUUCACAUAGUAACGGGGGGCUGCGUGCUCCUCCGCCAUACCCCAGAAACCGGAUCACACCGCCAUUAAAUGAACGACCACCUAGUUGUUACAUCACACAACCGAAUCAGCAUUUGCCACAGGAACCCUGAAGCUGGUUAUAACCAUAGAAGGUCACCUCAAAGCACUGUGAAUACGGAGGAUUUACAACACAGAUGAAUUGACGCCUUCAUUCGAGCUAUGGACUUGCUAAAAUCUAUGUGGACAUCAUAGAUUCUUUUUUCAACGGAGAAACUACUGCCGGCAUGAAGAUUUGAUCGUGAAGACGAACCUAACCCUAAACUAACCCUCUGAGCUGUGGAGACCUACACCCGGCGGACAUCUAUUACGUCUCCAAGGAGCUUAAAACUUUGUCUUUUUAAUAUUCUUAUCCUCAUUUUAACCUAUGUACGUUAUAGGUUUUUCUCUUUUAUACUCAUAUUAACCUAAAAAAAUGUCAGGGGAAAUAAGACCACUGUAGAUGUAAGUUUCAUAUUCAAACAUUCAGCUACUAAGUGGUUCCCAACUGGUUUUGCCUCAGGAGUCAGAUUUUAACUUGGUCAUUAAGUCGCAACUGACAUUUUUUACAUUCUGUAGCAACUCAAAUUUAUUUCACAAAAAACAGCCCAGUAAUACAAAAGCCUUUAUGCACAGUUGAAAACAUGAAAACAGUUGAUAUAUAUGAAACAUGAACAAACAUGACAAAUAUGAAAUAAAAAGGCACACUUUUUACAAAUAAAAUGUCUUCU